rnacentral:tRNA from 1 species
CGAUAGCUCAGUGGAUAGAGCGUCUGCCUCCGGAGCAGAAGGCCGCAGGUUCGAGUCCUGUUCGGG